GAGUUCAAGAGUACGUGAAACUGUGCAGAGGUAAACGGAGGCGUUCCUCGAAGGUUCGGCGGGAGGUUCAGGCUCGGCCGGGGUCUUGCGUCGGUGCUGGGAUCCGCAAGGACCCUCUCCGGCGUUUAGGCCUCUGCCUGGCUGCACUCCUCCCGUCGUGACGCGACGAACCGCUUGGGCUGGGCGAUUGCCCGGGGUGAAGUUGGGGGCUCGUCCCUCAGCCCCCGGUGUCUUUCUCCCCCGGCCCCGGCGGGGAGAGUUUGGGCCGGCGCGUAUAGCGCGUGUCGUGCUGACACCGCUGGCCCCCUCCGUCGCGAGUAGGUCGGCGGCGCCUCCGACCCGUCUUGAAACAC
rnacentral:rRNA from 1 species